GAUGAACGCUGGCGGCGUGCCUAACACAUGCAAGUCGAACGGAGAUUACGGACGGAAGUUUUCGGAUGGAAGCCUGUAAUUCUUAGUGGCGGACGGGUGAGUAACGCGUGGGCAACCUGCCCUAUACAGGGGGAUAGCAGCUGGAAACGGCUGGUAAGACCGCAUAAGUCGGUUAAAUCGCAUGAUUUGAUCGGGAAAUGAGCAAUCAGGUAUAGGAUGGGCCCGCGUCCGAUUAGCCAGUUGGCAGGGUAAAAGCCUACCAAAGCGACGAUCGGUAGCCGGACUGAGAGGUCGGACGGCCACAUUGGGACUGAGACACGGCCCAAACUCCUACGGGAGGCAGCAGUGGGGGAUAUUGCACAAUGGAGGAAACUCUGAUGCAGCGACGCCGCGUGAGUGAAGAAGUAUUUCGGUAUGUAAAGCCCUAUCAGCAGGGAAGAUGAUGACGGUACCUGACUAAGAAGCCCCGGCUAACUACGUG
rnacentral:rRNA from 1 species